UACGGAGGGGGCUAGCGUUGUUCGGAAUUACUGGGCGUAAAGCGCACGUAGGCGGCGCGACAAGUCAGAGGUGAAAGGCCUGGGCUCAACCUGGGAACUGCCUUUGAUACUGGCGUGCUUGAGUCCGGAAGAGGGUGGCGGAAUUCCCAGUGUAGAGGUGAAAUUCGUAGAUAUUGGGAAGAACACCGGUGGCGAAGGCGGUCACCUGGUCCGGUACUGACGCUGAGGUGCGAAAGCGUGGGGAGCAAACAGG
rnacentral:rRNA from 1 species